AUUAUCACCUGCCGAGAACACAUUUUUUACAACGCCAUCUGCAUUUUGGAGCCACGUGUUAUUAGAGAGGAUAAUAUCAAACGUGUUUGAAUGCAUCCCAAAUCUCGUUACGUCAUUUUAUUGCGAAUUGUUGUCAGCUCACAUGAAGCUUUAAACCAGAUUUAUGUAUAUAAACUAUUAAUUUCAGCGUUCUCGUGCCAGCUGUUGUCCUUCUUCCAUGCGACAAUUAAUGAUCUAUCUCGUAAAAUAUCAAAUAGCAUAAAAAACGAUAUAUGCUUUAGUUAUUUUAGUAAGCAAAUUGAUGUAUCUACCGAUCAGUCAAAUUACGUAACUAUUAAUAUGUUUUUAAUAUCUAUGUGUACGCGAAGUAUUGGCAGUGUAGUGUUGAUUCCCUGCAGAGACAUCAACAUCUUCACGCGGAAGUAAAACAAGCAAAGAAAUGGAUCUGUUGAUUGUUGGUUAUACAAGGGAUUUAAUCAGAUAAACAGGAAUGGUUUUCGAUUAUAGAGUAACGUAACAAAACGAAAAAUGGGAGGAGAAAAGGAUUUACAGAAAAACGAAGAACCAACGAAAGACGGAAAAAAGAAAGCUAAAGGACAUAAAAGACUUUUCGCCGUCAGCCCGGAAAAUGUUCCUAACACGAACUUACUUUUAGCAUGUUUAGUGACUUUAUGUUUCAACCCGGUAUUAGGACCUAUAGCUGCGUACUAUUCCCUAACUGCGGCCAAAUCGUACAGUGACGGUGACAAAAGAGACGGUGAAAGACGCGCACUUAUAUCAGUGAUUAUAAGUUUAGUUUCUAUUGUUUUCACUGUAGUACUUGUAAUGACCUUGAUAUUGGUUUUUACAGUUUACACAGAAACGAGGCAUUAAUUUUUGUACUUAAAUACACGUUUAAAUAACGAAUUAUUUAUACGUUGUGCACGGUGCACGGACACGGUCUUCAUUGACGUUUGUUUUAUGCUUAGGAUUGAAAAACCUUCUACAGUACGAAUUAUAACCAGUUUGUUAUUGGAGGUAAAUGUCAUCGUAUUUUGACAUGAAAUAGAUCAAACCACUAGGUUUCAACUGAUCAUUUGAAUAUAUAGACACAUUGUAUGUUUUACUCCGUUCAUUUUAGUAUAAUUGUAACAUUUUAAUAUUUUACACAAUUUUUUUUUUAAAAUUUUUAUCGUUUGAAAAGUUUAAAUUGUGAUCUGCUUCUAUAAAACCCUAUUUCGAACAAAAAGUUAACAAAACUUUGCAGAUGUGCGCUUUAGAGUAUAUCUUUGAUUUUCCUGCUCAGAUUGAUUAUCAUAGGGAUAAUGAAAUCAAUGUAUACAUUGGAUCUUUAUGGUCACUUAUAGCCUACACAGUAGUGGUCUGUACAUGCAAACAGCAGAUAGAAAACCUGAAAGGUCUAAAAUGUUUGUUUAUGACCACUGAUGAAAAUAUGGUAGUAUUAUAAUGCAUGAUAUAUCUAUAUGCACAUCUUAAAUAAUUUCAUUUUUUUAAAUGUAGUUUUAAAGUCCAUGCACUAUCUAUGCAGUAUUACCUAUGCAAAUGCACAGUGCCUUAGUAUACAUGUAGUUUAUAGAUAUUGCGUUCCAAACUGUCAGAUAUAAUAUAUAUACAUAAAUCAUGUUUGUAAAUGUGGCAUAAAAUGCACGAUCAUUAAUAUAUUCAUUCAUCAUGUGUCAUUAUUAUAAAAAUUACUUUGAAA